AACUAACUGAUGCUGUGCCAGCUAAAAGGUAGUCUUUUCGAACCCAGAAAGUAUCAAAAUAUUUCAUUCAUCGCCAGGUUUUGAACACUUGACUUCUAGAUCUUUCCCCGCUUCGCUCUAUCAAGAUCAUGGUAACCUCUGAUCGUCCCACGUGCGCGUCACGACCAACACAAAACUCGACUCACUUCGCGGCGUGUACACUUUAGUUCCACUCACGAUCAGCGCACGUCUCCAGCGACACACGUGAAAGAUGACGAUGUCUUGCCAUCUCCAUUGUCCCACCUCUCGACUCUGCCAGAAGACAGAUCGAGGGGAGUAUAAAGGAGUUAUUUCGUCAGGGCGAGUUGUUCACGUGCCUUUCUGGAGAGAUUUCUUCUGGAUUAGUUCACGUGAGAUGCGUCAGCAGCAGAAUCGUCUCAAAACGUUUUGACGACAACAUUUCAAAACGUCUCCGAUAACGUGAUUCUUCUCGACUUUCUUGUGCAAGUCAAAUUGAUUCGCUUUGAUUCAUCCUCGAAGUGAUCAGUCGUAUCAUUUCCCCAACUGUUUCAACGCUACACCUGACCAGAUGAGCUGAAAGAAGGAAACACCGGGGCAUGAUGGGAUGUGGAAACAGCAAAAGUCGUCGCCUAAAGAACAAUAACAAGCAUUACAAGGUCAAAAAUGAACAAGAAACAACAACAACUGACCUGGUGGCUCAGAUGGACGACGAUGCAGACGGACCUGACAAAACCAAUGGACAGCAGAACAAUGCAGACCAUAAGAACUCGACUGCAGUCAUACAAACUGAUAAACAUGAUUCUGAAUCAAGAACAGAAGGGUUUAAAGCCAAACAUCAAAAAAAGUGACAGGCCAGCAUUAUGAGUGUCAGUGCAUUGAUUUCAUCAGCACAUAUGUCAGUGCAUCGAUUUUUCAACACAUUAAGUUGAUAGCAUGGAAAGGUCCCCAAGUGGAUAUAUUGUUUUAAUGCGAAGCAUUAGAUCAAUGUAACUUUAUUGUCUAUUUUCAGACCUGACUAGUUAUUAUUAUUAUUAUUAUAGCUUUUAUAUAGCGCUACUUUCAUGCUUAUAGCAUGGCUUUUGGUCCAAUCUCAUUUGUGGACCAGUGGGGGGAGGGUGUAUCUAGGACUGCUGGAGUUGGUUUUCCGUGCUGCCUUUAGGCGCUCAGUAAACACAACUCUGCCCAAGUCGGGUGUCAUAGCCGUGAACCUCGAGCCCCCUUCUAGGUAGCCAAGCCAAGUUCAAGCGUACUUGGCCUCUCGACCACGCUAGUUAUUAAAACAUCGUGAUUAAUGCCGUGCUAUUACGUUUAUUUAAAAAACAUAUCAGGACCAGAAAUGUUGGCUAAAACCAACAAACGCAUUGACAUCAACAUUUGUGUGUAAACUGAUACUCUCAGCGUGACUCAGGCUAUUUAUGUUGGAAGACAUACUAUACGACAAGACAUUCUCAUCCUAUGCCCCAGACACAUUCAGCUCAUCAUCCACAGAAAUGAUACAAAAUGAAGUGUCCAGUGAUAAUCGAUAAUACCAACGUACCACUCAAUUAUAAUGAGGAAUAUAUAUAUAUAUAUAUAUAUAUAUAUAUAUAUAUAUAUAUAUAUAUAUAUAUAUAUAUAUAUAUAUAUAUAUAUAUAUAUAUAUAUAUAUAUAUAUAUAUAUAUAUAUAUAUAUAUAUAUAUAUAUAUAUAUAAUCUGGUGUAGUGUUUCCCAAAAGCAUUACACAACAGAACGCUUCGCACAUUCUCAGUAUAUAGUGGAACACUUAGCUUAUUUUUUAUAGAGGUUAAUUCACCUGGUGGCCUAGAUGUUAAUUAUUCCAGUAGUUCGUGGAACACCUAUUCAGUUGCGUAGCUAGGGUGGGGGAAGAGGUUUGGGGGGGGGAGGUUUUUGAAAAUCCCCCAAAAUGAGUGUUGUUUUUUUUUACAUUAAAUAUUACGCAAAAUGCAGGGGACCCAAAGAGGUCAAGCCCUCGGGCCCCCAAAUGAUGUAAAAUUCCUAGCUACGCCCCUGAGAGAAAUGUGUUUUGUUCAAAGAUGUGGAAUCUCUAUGUAACGUUAAAGUGCAAAACAACUUGAAAUAAGGCCUUGUAGUCAGAUCUUGUAUAAUAGGAUCUAAUGAUGUAUGGCUAGGCUACAUAUGGCUGCCUUACUGAUGGAGUCCGAGUUGCUAUCAUAAUUUAGUCAAGGAAUUUUUAAUUCGAACAUUUAACACGAGUCCUUUAAUCCGCCCCUCCCCCUUCCUUUCAAGUCCCCCCCCCCCCCCAAAUAAAGAGCGUGGACCAGAAAGCACUGAGCAUGUUACAGGAGCAUGGAAGAACUACUAUACUCAAGUAAUAAUAGUAGCUUCUUUUUUUAUUCAACUGCAUAUUAAUCUAGUAAAAGAUGUAUAUGUGAGUAAACCUAAACGAACAUUAGUGUAGUGGAAUGCACGCAUCCAUAGAUAAAGGCAGAGUUUAUAAUUUCCGAACCGCUGCAGGAUAUGAUUCUUAAAACGCUCUUGAGUCUACCUAACUCCAAUUGGUGCACGACAUUCGUUGCUGAAAGUAAUGGCGAGGAUUAUUGUGCUGGCCACAUGACACCUUUAUUAACCGUCGGCCAAACAAAAAGAUGACCUUUACACCAUCUGUCACAUAGAUAGCAAGGGAGAGAAUACUUUACUUUUUGCGCCAGUGUAAUUAAAGAUGUUCCAAAAUAAAAAUAAACUUACAAAAUCUAAUGAAGUAACUGUCGAGUCUUGUCCCUUUCUUUCUUUUUUUUUUUUCCUCCUGUUGUAUUCUCUCUCUCGCUCUCUCUCUCUCUCUCUCUCUCUCACACACACAAACACUUACUCACUUUGUCUCUCUCCUGUCAUUUUCUCUCUCACUGCCUCGCUCCUUACAUCCAAACUCCCCUCUAGUUUUCAAUGCGCCUGACAAUUUAGUUUAUGAUAAUUUAAUCCAAUUAGUUUUUUAUUUUUUUAAAUAUCAUUCUUUUCAAUUACUGCUAGCAAUUUCGUCUUUCAUCUGUCGUCUGGGCAUCAACCAAUCAUAUUUGACAUUUGUUUUCACUGUAAAGCUCAACCAAAUUAUACUAUGUGACCCAUGACCACAACCUAAACUCUUAAAACCUGAACCAAACUCAAAUCACAAAAAAUCGAUAAGACGUUACACUUUAAAAAAAAAAAUCUAGGUCUUACAAAGUGGAACCUGGUUAAAACUGAUAUUUAUAAAUUUGGUAUUGUCGAGAUUGGGGUGACCUUAUAUUUGCUUUCAUUUUUUACAAAAUUAAUGCCAGAUUUUAACGAGUGACAAGCUGGCAAUGUGUUUGUUGAAUUGUUUACAAGAAAGAGUUAUCUGGACUUGCGUAUUACGAUGCCGUCUGCGAUAAUACUAUAGUCUCCUGAUAUAUUAUUGCAUUCCACUAAAAGAAGAUGAAAGAUAAAUUCACUAGUAAAGUUACCUUUGUCCCCCUCUCUUCUUUUAAAAAAAUGACCAGAUUUUAUUUAAGAUUUUUUUUUAAUUGGAUUAAAAAAACAAACAAACAAGAAUCACUUUAAUAAGCCAAAAUGGCUUCCAUUGUUUGAUGCUUUUCAUUUUGUGUAGAUGUGUCUUUAAAAAAAUAUAUGCUACAUGUGUAUAUAAUAUAUAGAUGUCAAAUGUUUGUUCACCUGAAUGUGUGCUUAGUCAUGUAUGACUGUUACCUGGUUACAGAAAUAUGUGUAUGUGUGAUUGUGUGUAUAAGCAGUUUGUAAAAUAGUUGAACAUUGUCUAGAAAACGUUGCCCAUACGUGGCCACAAGUUGAGAUUUUGAUCAAACUCCGAAACAAUUAAUGAUCAUAAAGAACCACAUUUAAUGGAUUGUUUGUUUUGUUUUCUUGUUUUUUACAGUAAUAAAUAAAUCAUA